GCCCUUUUCCGGUUGAUCCUGCCGGAGGCUAUUGCUAUCGGUGUCCGAUUUAGCCAUGCGAGUUGCACGUUUAACGUAGCAAACUGCUCAGUAACACGUGGCCAAACUGCCCUAUGGACUGGGAUAACCUCGGGAAACUGAGGCUAAUCCCGGAUAGCACAUCUGUCCUGGAACUGGAGGAUGUGUGAAACGUUCCGGCGCCAUAGGAUGUGGCUGCGGCCGAUUAGGUAGACGGUGGGGUAACGGCCCACCGUGCCGAUAAUCGGUACGGGUCAUGAGAGUGAGAGCCCGGAGACGGACUCUGAGACACGAGUCCGGGCCCUACGGGGCGCAGCAGGCGCGAAACCUUUACACUGCACGAUAGUGCGAUAGGGGGACACCGAGUGCGAGGGCAUAGAGCCCUCGCUUUUGUAGACCGUAAGGAGGUCUACGAAUAAGGGCUGGGCAAGACCGGUGCCAGCCGCCGCGGUAACACCGGCAGCCCGAGUGAUGGCCGAUAUUAUUGGGCCUAAAGCGUCCGUAGCUGGCCGCGCAAGUUCGUCGGGAAAUCCACUCGCUUAACGAGUGGGCGUCCGGCGAAAACUGUGCGGCUUGGGACCGGAAGAUCCAAGGGGUACGUCCGGGGUA
rnacentral:rRNA from 1 species